GCAGCAGCCACGGGAAUACGGAGGGUGCAAGCGUUAAUCGGAAUUACUGGGCGUAAAGCGUGCGUAGGCGGUUACUCAAGUCAGAGGUGAAAGCCCGGGGCUCAACCCCGGAACUGCCUUUGAAACUAGGUGACUAGAAUCUUGGAGAGGUCAGUGGAAUUCCGAGUGUAGAGGUGAAAUUCGUAGAUAUUCGGAGGAACACCAGUGGCGAAGGCGGCUCACUGGUCCAUUACUGACGCUGAGGUGCGAAAGCGUGGGGAGCAAACAGGAUUAGAUACCCGAGUAGUCCCUGUCUCUUAUAC
rnacentral:rRNA from 1 species